CGAGAGCGAGAGCGAGAGCGAGAGCGAGAGCGAGAGCGAGAGCGAGAGAGAGAAAGAGAUUGAAAACCACUAAAUGCUUUACCCCUGGGCUGGAGAUAGAGCACCACCUAGAGUGUAGGACCUUAUUGUAUGGGAGAGGAUAUUCCUACAAGGCAAUGUUGAGUGUGUCAUUGGUAGUAACAUGUGACAUGAUAUUGGAAGAAAAAGACAACAGAAGUUCACUACUUCCCAAGAUGAAGGACACAUAAAAGAAAGCUGUGGACAAAACUUCAAGAUCAUACCAACAAAUGAUGUGCCUUCGGGGCAAGAGCUGAAAGAUAGAUAGGCCAGCAAACUGUGGUAUGUCAGCAAACUUUGUGUAUGUCGGCAAACACACUGAAGUUGCCUGGUUUCAUUUUCCACCUGAAAUAUGACACUGUUCAGCAAUGUCAUUUUUAAGAUUAAGUAUCUUGGUAUGUGACAAAGUGAAAUCAAUUUUUAA